rnacentral:tRNA from 1 species
CGGGGAAUAGUAUAGUAGCAACACGCCGCGCUGGGGGUGCGGAGUCAGGAGUGCAAUCCUCCUUUCCCCGA